rnacentral:rRNA from 1 species
GACGGAGGGGGCAAGCGUUGUCCGGAAUCACUGGGCGUAAAGCGCACGUAGGCGGGACGGUGCGUCGGUGCUGAAAGCGCCAGGCUUAACCUGGCGAGGCGUGCCGAUACGACCGACCUCGAGGCAGACAGAGGGUGGCGGAAUUCCGGGUGUAGUGGUGAAAUGCGUAGAGAUCCGGAGGAACGCCGGUGGCGAAGGCGGCGUUCUGGACUGCAACUGACACUGAAGAACGAAAGCCAGGGGAGCAAACGGG